CCUACGGGUGGCAGCAGUGAGGAAUAUUGGUCAAUGGGCGCGAGCCUGAACCAGCCAAGUCGCGUGAGGGAAGACGGUCCUAUGGAUUGUAAACCUCUUUUGUCGGGGAGCCAAAGACGCCACGCGUGGCGUUCCGAGAGUAACCGAAGAAAAAGCAUCGGCUAACUCCGUGCCAGCAGCCGCGGUAAUACGGAGGAUGCGAGCGUUAUACGGAUUUAUUGGGUUCACAGGGUGCGCAGGCGGAAUCUCAAGGUAGCGGUAAAAUUGAGAGGCUCAACCUCUUCGAGCCGUUGAAACUGGUUUUCUUGAGUGAGCGAGAAGUAUGCGGAAUGCGUUGUGUAGCGGGGAAAUGCAUAGAUAUCACGCAGAACUCCGAUUGCGAAGGCAGCAUACCGGCGCUCAACUGACGCUCAUGCACGAAAGUGUGGGUAUCGAACAGGAUUAGAUACCCUAGUAGUC
rnacentral:rRNA from 1 species